rnacentral:rRNA from 1 species
GAUGAACGCUGGCGGCGUGCCUAAUACAUGCAAGUCGAGCGAACAGAUGAGGAGCUUGCUCCUCUGACGUUAGCGGCGGACGGGUGAGUAACACGUGGAUAACCUACCUAUAAGACUGGGAUAACUUCGGGAAACCGGAGCUAAUACCGGAUAAUAUAUUGAACCGCAUGGUUCAAUAGUGAAAGACGGUUUUGCUGUCACUUAUAGAUGGAUCCGCGCCGCAUUAGCUAGUUGGUAAGGUAACGGCUUACCAAGGCAACGAUGCGUAGCCGACCUGAGAGGGUGAUCGGCCACACUGGAACUGAGACACGGUCCAGACUCCUACGGGAGGCAGCAGUAGGGAAUCUUACGCAAUGGGCGAAAGCCUGACGGAGCAACGCGGCGUGAGUGAUGAAGGUCUUCGGAUCGUAAAACUCUGUUAUUCGGGAAGAACAAAUGUGUAAGUAACUAUGCACGUCUUGACGGUACCGAAUCAGAAAGCCACGGCUAACUACGUG